GAUGAACGCUGGCGGCGUGCCUAAUACAUGCAAGUCGAGCGAAUGAUGAGGAGCUUGCUCCUCUGAUUUAGCGGCGGACGGGUGAGUAACACGUGGGUAAUCUGCCUGUAAGACGGGGAUAACUCCGGGAAACCGGGGCUAACACCGGACAACAAGAGAAGAAGCAUUUCUUCUUUUUGAAAGUCGGUUUUGGCUGACACUUACAGAUGAGCCCGCGGCGCAUUAGCUAGUUGGUGAGGUAACGGCUCACCAAGGCGACGAUGCGUAGCCGACCUGAGAGGGUGAUCGGCCACACUGGGACUGAGACACGGCCCAGACUCCUACGGGAGGCAGCAGUAGGGAAUCUUCGGCAAUGGGCGAAAGCCUGACCGAGCAACGCCGCGUGAGCGAUGAAGGCCUUCGGGUCGUAAAGCUCUGUUGUUAGAGAAGAACAAGUACGAGAGUAACUGCUCGUACCUUGACGGUACCUAACCAGAAAGCCACGGCUAACUACGUGCCAGCAGCCGCGGUAACAC
rnacentral:rRNA from 1 species